rnacentral:rRNA from 1 species
AACGAACGCUGGCGGCAGGCCUAACACAUGCAAGUCGAACGCUCCAGCAAUGGAGAGUGGCAGACGGGUGAGUAACGCGUGGGAACCUUCCCUAUGGUUCGGAAUAGCCCAGGGAAACUUGGGGUAAUACCGGAUAAGCCCUUCGGGGGAAAGAUUUAUCGCCAUUGGAUGGGCCCGCGUCGGAUUAGCUAGUUGGUGGGGUAACGGCUCACCAAGGCGACGAUCCGUAGCUGGUCUGAGAGGAUGAUCAGCCACACUGGGACUGAGACACGGCCCAGACUCCUACGGGAGGCAGCAGUGGGGAAUAUUGGACAAUGGGCGCAAGCCUGAUCCAGCCAUGCCGCGUGAGUGACGAAGGCCUUAGGGUUGUAAAGCUCUUUUGGCGGGGAAGAUAAUGACGGUACCCGCAGAAUAAGCUCCGGCUAACUUCGUGCCAGCCGCCGCCGUAAAAC